rnacentral:tRNA from 1 species
CCCGCCGUGGCCCAGGACGAGGCGUCCGCCCGGCUGAUGGCCCGGUUGCAGAAGCGCAGGAUCGAGGUCCUGUCGGCGCGC